rnacentral:piRNA from 1 species
CAGGGUUCAAGUCCCUGUUCGGGCGACAAG